ACCUGGUUGGCUCAGUCGGUUAAGCGUCCAACUCUUGGUUUCAGCUUAGGUCAUGAUCUUACAGUUUGUGGGUUUGAGUCCCACAUCAGGCU
rnacentral:tRNA from 1 species